rnacentral:lncRNA from 1 species
UGAUAAUAUUAAAUAUCUUUGCCAACAAGUCAUGCAAUUCAAAGAAGCAUGUUAAUCACCUUCAUAAUUGGAUCAAAGAAGUCUUUCUACUACAAAUAUGAGGGAGGUAAGGAUUAUUAUGCCAAAGAAUUUUAAUGAAAUAAGAUCAAAAUUUUAAAAAUUGUUACAAUAAGUUAAGUUCUAUCUAAAUUUGCAUCUUUCCUAAUACCUUUAUAGAUUUAUAAAAGUUGGAUUCAUAAAUG